rfam:Oryza brachyantha chromosome 12, whole genome shotgun sequence.
AAUAAGAUUAUUUUUUAUUUUUUCGUGUCCAACAUUUGACCAUUCGUUUUAUUUGAAAAAAAUUAUGUUUAAUAUUUUUAUUCUUCCUAGAUGAUAAAAACAUAAAUAGUGUUUUAUGCGUGACUAAUUCUUUUAAGUUUUUAUAUAAAUUUUUUAAAUAAAACAAAUGGUUAAACGUUGGACACGGAAAAACGAAAAAUGAUCUUAUU